ACAGAGACCACUUUGUAGCCUCUCUCAGUGACAGCCUUUUAGGUUGUCAGGGUCAGUGGUGUCUUCCCUCCACUCCAUCUUAGCCCCCAGGGAUGGACAUCCAGGGGAAGCAGCCCCACUUCCUGUGUCUACUCCUCAUGGACAUUGUGGGAGCUCCAUUUUCUUCAACAGAAGAUACGAAUCAAGCAAUCUGAGGGCCUAGAUGGGGAGAAAAGGGCCCUGAAACAGGGAGAGAUGAAUGUAGCCACCAGCUGUCUGUUUUUUUCUUUAGAGGGGCAGGGAGUCAUUCAACCUAAGAAUUUUUCCUUGCUGUCUUGCAUAUCCCAACAGGCCUCCCUUCAUUCUUACAGUGUGACUGACCUAAAUUCAAAAUAUGAAGAGGACCCGUGGGCUAAAAGGCUAAUUUUUCAUUGUCGGUAUAUACUAAAUUUGUUUAUCCAUCAUCUGUCCAUUGACAGUUGGUUGCCUCCACCCUUUGACUAUUGUGAACAGUGCUGCUAUGAACAUGAGUGUGCAAAUAUACUUUCAAGAUCCUGGUUUCAAUUCUUUUGAGAUUACCCAGAAGUAGAAUCAGUGGAACAUACGGAAGAAGAUUAUGGGCAAGUACUGCAAGAACUGGCAACAGUCUCAUAUUAUGUGGACAACUCUACAGUGCAUGUUUGUUUGGGCUCUCCCUUUUCCCUGCUCCAAACUCCCUGUCCCUGACUUUUGCUUACUGGGUCCAGUCCCCAGUAGAGUAGCUGCUCUUAGGCUUUUGUCUUAGGAGAACUCAGGGGAACACAUGGCCUAUGCUCUGGCAAUAAAAUCUUCUUGCAUUGUCAGAAGUCACCUCACUAUUUGAUGUCUCCAUAUACUCCCUCUGCUUUAAUCUCACUUACUUCCCCCAAACCUCAAUCUGGCCCCUGUUUAAAUGUCACCUGUUCAUGAAGCUUUCCUUCAGCUCCACAACAAAGCUGGUUUCUCCCUUCUCUGUGGCUGCUGUACCUUGUUUAUUCCUCCAUGGGCGCACUGAGGGCUCUCAAUACAUUUGGUUUUAUAUCUGAUACUCAUUGUAAUAUCCACUAUUAUUUUUUUUGUUUCUUUUAUAUUUUAGGUCCUGAAACAUUGCCAAACAUUGUCAAUCAUUCUUGAAGGUUUAACAUUAAAUGAUAUUAAGAAACGGACACUGGGCAAUAACUUUAGCACCAGCUGGGAGAAUUGGUGAUGAUUAUAGUCGGAAAGAAUCCCAAAUAUGUGAUGCUGGUAAUCUCUGGUCAUAAAUAAUAUUGAGCGUAAAUCUUUUCUUACAAUAAUAAAAUGCCUAAGGAAAUAUCUAUCCCCAGACACAAACACAUUUAUGUUCUUCUCUUAUUUCUUAUCAAUCUAGUCUGGGAUAGAUGAUGUGCUGCUCAGAGAUGGGGGCUAGAUGAAAUUACUGGGGGAUGGGAGCUGUCCUAUUUAUUGGGCAACCUCAGACUGUGGCUCUCCGGGGGAAUUGGCCACCUAAACUGGUACCCUCCACUGACCAGGCCAACAUAAACAUGGCUGGGAAAAGGGCAAUGUUUUUAUGGUCCUUAGUCCCUGGAGACCCUGUUUCACUGGGAAAGAUACUCUCACUAUAGUGACCACUUGCCUGAGACUCCCAAUUCUGGAAGCCUCUCACGGAAGAAGCUGUCUAGGACCACCUCAGUGAGUUGAUUCAGCUCCCAAAAUACCCAGGAAGCCCUUCCAGAUUAAUGAGAACAGGAAGGCAAACACACUCCCAGGACGCUGAUCCUUGUGAACAAGAAAUAAGCAGUGGCCAUAGCCCCUCCCUUUUAAUUCACCACCUUUUAAACUUCAAUCAUAUUUUCCUGAGACAACAUUGGAAACUGGCCUUUCUGUUGCCAUUCCUUCUUCAGUGCAUAGAUCAGUCAUUUUAGGCUCACUUCAAACCUAUUUGAAUCCCACGUCGCCUGCUCACCAUGCUACCUUUCUUUUUACUGUCCUCCAAUCUUAGUCUUGGUACUACUGUGUGUGUGUGUGUGUGUGUGUGUGUGUGAGAGAGAGAGAGAGAGAGAGAGAGAGAAAGAGAGAGAGAAAGAAAGAACAGAGACAGCAAGAGAGAGAGAGAAGAGAGAGAGAGAGAGAGAAAGAAAGAAAGAACAGAGACAGCAAGAGAGAGAGAGAAGAGAGACAGUGAGAGAGAGAGAGAGAGAAGAGAGACAGCAAGAGAGAGAGAGAGAGAGAGAGAACGAGAACCCAGUUCUUAAGCUUCAAGUUUCUAGGCAGAUGUGACCAAGUGAGUGUUUUAAGAAAAUCUGUGACUUGCUUGUCACACACACCAAUGCACAUUCUUAUCCCCUCCAUUUUCCUGUGAGGCAGAUAUUAUUACCUAUCCCGUUUCCAUGGUAAUAAUAAUGAGUAUUUGUUGAGUUUAUACUAUGUAUUAAUACUAUCCUGGGCAUUGUCUGUGGAUCACUGCACAUAAUUUUCACAAAAGCACUGAGCAUAGACAGCAUUAUCAUCCCUAGCAAACAGAUGAAAGCCAGCCCACAAAGAGUGAAUUGAGUUGAUGAAAGAGAUGCAGAAACAUUGAAAGCAAAUGAUCCUGUGCCUGUGACUGAACCCUCCUUGAUCUCUGAAGGGCAAGUGUUACACUGUUGCCCAUGUUUCAUCUGGAAAAAACAGAAGUACACAGAAGAAUGUGAUUUGUGCAAAGUCA